UACGUAGGUGGCGAGCGUUGUCCGGAUUUACUGGGCGUAAAGAGCGCGCAGGCGGUCGUACAAGUCGCGUGUGAAAGCCCCCGGCUCAACUGGGGAGGGUCACGCGAUACUGUUCGACUCGAAGGCAGGAGAGGGAAGCGGAAUUCCCGGUGUAGUGGUGAAAUGCGCAGAUAUCGGGAAGAACACCCGUGGCGAAGGCGGCUCUCUGGGACGGUACUGACGCUGAGACGCGAAAGCGUGGGGAGCGAACAGG
rnacentral:rRNA from 1 species